CGGGGUGCAGCAGGCGCGAAAACUUUACAAUGCCGGCAACGGCGAUAAGGGAACCUCGAGUGCCAGGUUACAAAUCUGGCUGUCGUGAUGCCUAAAAAGCAUUGCAUAGCAAGGGCCGGGCAAGACCGGUGCCAGCCGCCGCGGUAACACCGGCGGCUCGAGUGGUAACCGUUAUUAUUGGGUCUAAAGGGUCUGUAGCCGGCCAGGUAAGUCUCUUGGGAAAUCUGGCAGCUUAACUGUCAGGCUUUCAGGAGAUACUGCCUGGCUCGAGGCCGGGAGAGGUGAGAGGUACUUCAGGGGUAGGGGUGAAAUCUUGUAAUCCUUGAAGGACCACCAGUGGCGAAGGCGUCUCACCAGAACGGACCUGACGGCAAGGGACGAAAGCUAGGGGCACGAACCGGAUUAGAUACCCGGGUAGUCCUAGCCGUAAACGAUACUCGCUAGGUGUCGGCCACGGUGCGACCGUGGUCGGUGCCGUAGGGAAGCCGUGAAGCGAGCCACCUGGGAAGUACGGCCGCAAGGCUGAAACUUAAAGGAAUUGGCGGGGGAGCACAAGGGCGAAUUCGCG
rnacentral:rRNA from 1 species